rnacentral:SRP_RNA from 1 species
GCUGGGCGUGGUGGCUCACGCCUGUAAUCCCAGCUACUCGGGAGGCUGAGGCAGCAGAAUAGCUUGAACCUGGGAGGCGGAGUUUGCAGUGAGCAGAGAUCACGCCACUGCACUCCAGCCUGGGUAACAGAGCUAGAAUCUGUCUCAG